rnacentral:rRNA from 1 species
GAUAAACGCUAGCGGCAGGCUUAACACAUGCAAGUCGAGGGGCAGCAUAGAUUGUAGCAAUACAAUUGGUGGCGACCGGCGCACGGGUGCGUAACGCGUAUGCAACCUACCCGUCACAGGGGGAUAAUCCGGAGAAAUCUGGUCUAAUACCCCAUAACAUAUGGAUCGGCAUCGGUUCAUGUUGAAAUUUUCGGAGGUGACGGAUGGGCAUGCGUAGCAUUAGCUUGUUGGUGAGGUAACGGCUCACCAAGGCGAAGAUGCUUAGGGGGACUGAGAGGUUUUCCCCCCACACUGGGACUGAGACACGGACCAGACUCCUACGGGAGGCAGCAGUGAGGAAUAUUGGUCAAUGGGCGCAAGCCUGAACCAGCCAUGCCGCGUGCAGGAUGACGGCUCUAUGAGUUGUAAACUGCUUUUGUACGAGGGUAAAGUGGGUUACGUGUAACCUUUUGAAAGUAUCGUACGAAUAAGGAUCGGCUAACUCCGUGCCAGCAGCCGCGGUAA